rnacentral:lncRNA from 1 species
GUCCAUGAAAAUUAUGCACUACCUCCAUCCUAGGACCACUCCUAUCCUAGUCUAUGAUUGCAUCCGUAAUAGUGAAUCUGGAGCCUAUCGAACCGACUCCAUCUAUGGUCACCUCCAAAGCUAUGGGGGCACCAUAAAAUCCCUACAAUCUCUAUUUUGGUGCUCCCAAAACCUUGAUGAGCACCACUCUUCACCGAGAUCUGAUCCUCUGCAUGACCUAGCCAAUGAAGAGUGAAGCUAACUAUGCAGACCUCCUCACCACUAUAGUAUAUCUCAACCGUAGAGCUAUCCGGGAGACUGCCACCACCUCCUUUAUGGCUGAAGAACUCGUCUUGCAUCCGGACACCUCUCAUGUAGGUCCUGUCAUCAGCAGUUGUGCCCACCACUGAUCCAACAGCUGCACCCAC